rnacentral:sRNA from 1 species
GCUGGGUAUGGUGGUGCCCACCUGUAAUCCCAGCAGCUCAGAGGCUGAGGCAGGAGGACCACAGUUCAAAACCAGCCUCAGCAACUUAGCGAAGCCCUCAACUCAGAGAGACCCUGUCUCUA